rnacentral:rRNA from 1 species
CGUUAGUAGUAGCAGAAAGGUUAUUAGGGAUAAGCUUAAUAUCUGAUUGUUAUAUAGGUUAGAAGACUAGGUUAGAGAAGGAUUAAUAGUGUCUUUAGGUUUUGUAACCGAUUAGUAGUUAUUUUUAUUAAUGGAGUAUAUGAGGGUGUCUUGAAAUCUUUUUUGUUAGUAAUAAUGGUAGAAUUAGUAGAUUAGCUUAUAGUUUCUAAUUUAGGUGUUUAAAUUGAAGUAUGCGAGUGUCUAGUUUUUGGUAAGGAACUCGGCAAAAAUUUCUCUUAACUGUUUAUCAAAAACAUUUCUUUAAGGAAGGAUUUAAAGUAUGUUCUGCCCCCUGAUUAAUCUAUUAAAGGGCCGCAGUAGCCUGACUGUGCUAAGGUAGCAUAAUCAUUAGGUUUUUGAUUGGGAUCUGGAAUGAAUGAAUGAAUAAGGGGGAGCUGUCUACCAACAGAGUUUGAAAUUAAAUUUUUAGUAAGAAUGCUAGAAUCUUUCAGUGGGACGAUAAGACCCUAUAAAGCUUUACUAAUCUUUAGUAAAAAUUUUUACUACUUUUAUGAAGGGUUUAGUUUUACUGGGGCGGUAGCUAAUCAACUUAGCUAAUUUUCUUUUAUUGUGGAUCCAUCUUUGGUGAAGUAAGAUUAAGUUACUUUAGGGAUAACAGCAUAAUAUACUUAUGGAGUUCUAAUCGAAGGGUAUGAUUGUGACCUCGAUGUUGAAUUAACCUAAUUGUAAGGUGAAGAAGCUUUACGAGUUAGUCUGUUCGACUAUUGAAGGGUUACGUGAUUUGAGUUCAAACCGGUUUAAGCCAGGUUGGUUUCUAUCUACUGAGUUUAAAAAGUCUCUUAGUACGAAAGGACCAGAGACGUUAGAAUUUCUAUUUAAGUAUUAUUUAACUAACUUUAGGUAUA